UACGAAGGGGGCUAGCGUUGUUCGGAAUUACUGGGCGUAAAGCGCACGUAGGCGGAUAUUUAAGUCAGGGGUGAAAUCCCGGGGCUCAACCUUGGAACUGCCUUUGAUACUGGAAAUCUUGAGUCCGGGAGAGGUGAGUGGAACUGCGAGUGUAGAGGUGAAAUUCGUAGAUAUUGGGAAGAACACCGGUGGCGAAGGCGGCUCACUGGCUCAUUACCGACGCUCAGGCGCGAUAGCGUGGGGAUCAAACAGG
rnacentral:rRNA from 1 species